CCCCCUACCAAUUAAUAGGGUUUCGGUCGUGUCAUGAUGUGUAUUAAUGGGAGUUCGUUCAGCUUGGUCUGAUGUGAUUAAUGAGGAGUUGGUCCAGUUGGUCUGAUGUGAUUAUGAGGAUGUUCCAGUGGUCUGAGGAGUUGGUGCCAGUUGGUCUCUAUGAUUGUGAGGAUACCUUGAGGAGUUGGUCCAGUUGGUCUGAUGUGAUUAAUGAGGAGUUGGUCCAGUGGUCUGAUGUGAUUAAUGAGGAGUUUGGUCCAGUUGGUCUGAUGUGAUUAAUGAGGAGUUGAGUCCAGUUGGUCUUGAUGUGAUUAAUGAGGAGUUGGUCAGUUGGUCUGAUGUGAUAAUGAGGGAUAUCCAGUCUGAGGAGUUGGUCCAGUUGGUCUGAUGUGAUUAAUGAGGAGUUUGGUCCGGUUGGUCUGAUGUGAUUAUGAGGAGUUGGUCCAGUUGGUCUGAUGUGUUAAUGAGGAGUUGGUCCAGUGCGUUCUGGUGAUUAAUGAGGAGUUGGUCCAGUUGGUCUAAUGUUGUAUUAAUGAGAGAGUUGGUCCAGUUGGUCUGAUGUGAUUAAUGAGGAGCAUCCAGGACUGAGAGUUGGUCCAGUUGGAUCUGAUGGAUUAAAUGAGAGAGUAUCCAGACGGCUGCACUUGAUGAAUUUAUGGAAUUGCUUCUUCCAACUAUUACCAAACAUGCACCUGUUAAUAAUAUAGAAGAAAGAACUGUUCAGGCUGUUAUUAAUAACUUUCAGGCACCACGGAUUGACAAGGAAUUGAAAUGGUUGACAGGGAUGGGCUCAUUGAAGGUCCCAAGUUGACAGGUUCAUGUCAGAGAAAAAACCAAGACCACGAGGUCAAAGGACUUGUCCG
rnacentral:lncRNA from 1 species